rnacentral:rRNA from 1 species
AGUUCCAAUAGCGUAUAUCAAAAUGGUUGCGGUAAAACAAAGUUCGUAGUUGGAUUUCCGUCGAGGACGACUGGUCCGCCAUCUGGGUGCGUAUCUAGCUCGGAGUGGGCAUCUUCUUGGAGAACGUAGCUGCACUUGACUUUGUGGUGCAGCAUCCAAGACUUUUACUUUGAGGAAAUCAGAAAGCUUCAAGCAAUCAUACGCCUUGAAUACAUUAGCAUGGAGUAAUCAGAUAGGACCUCGGUUCGAUUUUGUUGGUUUCUAGAGCUGAGGUAAUGACUAAUAAGGAUCUUUAGGCAUUCGCAUUUAACUGUCAGAGGUGAAAUUCUUGGAUGUGUUAAAGACGGACUACUGCAAAGCCAUUUGCCAAUGAUGUUUUCA